rnacentral:rRNA from 1 species
AGUCGAGCGGUAGAGAGAAGCUUGCUUCUCUUGAGAGCGGCGGACGGGUGAGUAAUGCCUAGGAAUCUGCCUGGUAGUGGGGGAUAACGUUCGGAAACGGACGCUAAUACCGCAUACGUCCUACGGGAGAAAGCAGGGGACCUUCGGGCCUUGCGCUAUCAGAUGAGCCUAGGUCGGAUUAGCUAGUUGGUGAGGUAAUGGCUCACCAAGGCGACGAUCCGUAACUGGUCUGAGAGGAUGAUCAGUCACACUGGAACUGAGACACGGUCCAGACUCCUACGGGAGGCAGCAGUGGGGAAUAUUGGACAAUGGGCGAAAGCCUGAUCCAGCCAUGCCGCGUGUGUGAAGAAGGUCUUCGGAUUGUAAAGCACUUUAAGUUGGGAGGAAGGGCAUUAACCUAAUACGUUAGUGUUUUGACGUUACCGACAGAAUAAGCACCGGCUAACUCUGUGCCAGCAGCCGCGGUAAUACAGAGGGUGCAAGCGUUAAUCGGAAUUACUGGGCGUAAAGCGCGCGUAGGUGGUUUGUUAAGUUGGAUGUGAAAUCCCCGGGCUCAACCUGGGAACUGCAUUCAAAACUGACUGACUAGAGUAUGG